UUGUUGGGCUGAAUGUUUCAGCAUAAAUGGUUCAAACACAGGAUUUGGUUUGCAUGACACACCCACUAGAGAUAUAAAAACAUCCACAGAGGAACAGAUGAGAAAUCUAUUUCUGUAAGUGUCACAUUGUCAGGUCACUAACUGUUCUGUUUGUAGUAUAAGUUAACGCUCCCUAACACUACUGCUUGGGUUUGAAUUAGAAUUUUUCUUGCACUGAGAUUUACAUAAAUACAUGAACUUUUCUGAUCAGCAUUUGUAUUUAAAUCAAAUACAAAACCACAAAAACUGGAUGACUAGAGAGCAGCUCCCACCAGUACAGCCUCAACUGUAACCAUGCUGCUUGUAUAUCUCCUGGUGUUGGACACAUCUACGUCCUCUGCUUCCUCAGCUCCAGUCACUGUAGAACUUCAGGCACAGUAAUAAACCGCAGUGUCCUCUGUCCUCAGACUCUUGGCCUCUAAGUACUGUGUGCUUGCUG